AUACGUAGGGAGCGAGCGUUGUCCGGAAUUACUGGGCGUAAAGGGCGCGUAGGCGGCGCUUCAAGUCGUCUGUCAAAUGGGAGGGCUUAACCCUUUUUCGCAGACGAAACUGGAGAGCUUGAGAAGCAGAGAGGCAAACAGAAUUCCUGGUGUAGCGGUGAAAUGCGUAGAUAUCAGGAAGAAUACCAGUGGCGAAGGCGGUUUGCUGGCUGCAUACUGACGCUGAAGCGCGAAAGCCAGGGGAGCGAACGGGAUUAGAUACCCCGGUAGUCCUGGCCGUAAACGAUGAAUGCUAGGUGUGGGUGUCGAGAGGCAUCCGUGCCGGAGUUAACGCGAUAAGCAUUCCGCCUGGUGAGUACGAUCGCAAGAUUGAAACUCAAAGGAAUUGGCGGGG
rnacentral:rRNA from 1 species